rnacentral:rRNA from 1 species
GAUGAACGCUGGCGGCGUGCCUAAUACAUGCAAGUCGAGCGAACAGACGAGGAGCUUGCUCCUCUGACGUUAGCGGCGGACGGGUGAGUAACACGUGGAUAACCUACCUAUAAGACUGGGAUAACUUCGGGAAACCGGAGCUAAUACCGGAUAAUAUAUUGAACCGCAUGGUUCAAUAGUGAAAGACGGUUUUGCUGUCACUUAUAGAUGGAUCCGCGCCGCAUUAGCUAGUUGGUAAGGUAACGGCUUACCAAGGCAACGAUGCGUAGCCGACCUGAGAGGGGGGGCGGCACCAGGGGAAGGGAGAACGGCACCAGACUCCGAGGGGGGGAGGAAGGGGGAAUUGUUCGAAAGGGGGAGAAGGCGGGAGGGAACAACGCGGCGGGAGUAAUAAGGGUCUGGGAAUGGAAAAACUCUUUUAUGGGGAAAAAAAAAAGGUGAAAGAAACUAGGCCCGUCGGGAGGGUACCUAAUAAAAAGGCCACGGCUAACUACGGC